GUGAGCUGGCCUUUGACCUAGUGUGCUUGUGGACUGAAGAGUUCUGUGUUUCCAGCAAAGAGAGUAGUGGACUGUGAGUCUAGACGGGAGGCUGGAGAGUGAGGCAGAGACCAAGUGAUGAAGGCCACAUUUACCAGAAACUGAAAGUUAAAUUUGGAUCUUCAUCUGCAUGAGAUCAGUUCCAUGAACACUUCGGUUUCUCCUUCCUUGAAGUAGGCCUGCCAACCAGCAACGUGGAGACCAGCCUUUAGAUUUCUUCCUGAUUCUUCUAUUUGAAAAACACCUACUUCUGCUUCAAAGCCUGGCACAAGAGCUAACUUCGGCAACUCAUUAUCCAAUCCCCCAGAUCAGGU